GACGUAGGGUGCGAGCGUUGUCCGGAUUUAUUGGGCGUAAAGAGCUCGUAGGCGGCUCGUCGCGUCAGCUGUGAAAACCCGCAGCGUAACUGUGGGCUUGCAGCUGAUACGGGCGGGCUAGAGUUCGGUAGGGGAGACUGGAAUUCCUGGUGUAGCGGUGAAAUGCGCAGAUAUCAGGAGGAACACCGGUGGCGAAGGCGGGUCUCUGGGCCGAAACUGACGCUGAGGAGCGAAAGCGUGGGGAGCAAACAGG
rnacentral:rRNA from 1 species